GACGAACGCUGGCGGCGUGCCUAAUACAUGCAAGUAGAACGCACAGUUUAUACCGUAGCUUGCCACACCAUAGACUGUGAGUUGCGAACGGGUGAGUAACGCGUAGGUAACCUGCCUGGUAGCGGGGGAUAACUAUUGGAAACGGUAGCUAAUACCGCAUAAUAUUAAUUAUUGCAUGAUAAUUAAUUGAAAGGUGCAAUUGCACCACUACCAGAUGGACCUGCGUUGUAUUAGCUAGUAGGUGAGGUAACGGCUCACCUAGGCGACGAUACAUAGCCGACCUGAGAGGGUGAUCAGCCACACUGGGACUGAGACACGGCCCAGACUCCUACGGGAGGCAGCAGUAGGGAAUCUUCGGCAAUGGACGAAAGUCUGACCGAGCAACGCCGCGUGAGUGAAGAAGGUUGUCGGAUCGUAAAGCUCUGUUGUAAGAGAAGAACGGGUGUGAGAGUGGAAAGUUCACACUGUGACGGUAUCUUACCAGAAAGGGACGGCUAACUACGUG
rnacentral:rRNA from 1 species